CGGCAUGCUUGAGAGAUUGAUGGAGGCUCAGAAAGUGCUCCACAGAGGGUUGUGGAUGAUCGAUCCGAGCAACAGAGCACAGCUCUGCAAACAUGCUGCACAGUUCGCAAGCAACACAUGGGUAACUCCUACAAUCCGAUUUGUUUCGACUGCGAAACCAUUAUGAUGCAACAACAACAACACAUAAUAAUAAUAAUAAUAAUAAUUUUAAACAAAAAAAAAAAAAAAAAAAAAAAAAAAAAAACUGUGUGUUGUAUCAGUUGCAGAGACGCAGUAGUUCAAGUGAGGAAUAGGGUUUCCAAUUUGCUUGCCUGAGACUUCGAAGAACGCUCUCCGCUGCUGAAGCUUCUUGGAGGGCUUCAACCGCAGCCAACGCUGCAGCCUCCCUUGAUUGCAUGGCUUCCU
rnacentral:lncRNA from 1 species